AGAGCGCCCGGCUUUUAACCGUGUGGUCGUGGGUUCGAGCCCCAUAUUC
rnacentral:tRNA from 1 species